UACAGAGGGUGCGAGCGUUGUCCGGAAUCACUGGGCGUAAAGGGCGCGUAGGUGGCGAUCCAAGUCCAUGGUGAAAGCUCGAUGCUCAACAUCGAGUCGGCCACGGAUACUGGGUUGCUUGAGCACUGUAGGGGCAGAUGGAAUCCGGGUGUAGCGGUGGAAUGCGUAGAGAUGUGGAGGAACACCAGUGGCGAAGGCGACUCUUUGGCCUAUAACUGACGCUGAGGCGCGAGAGCGUGGGGAGCAAACAGG
rnacentral:rRNA from 1 species